GACGAGGUGGCCGAGUGCUUAAGGCGAUGAAGUGCUAAUCCAUUGUCCGCUGCACGCGUGGGUUCGAAUCCCAUCCCCGUCG
rnacentral:tRNA from 1 species